GCCUUCGUGGUGUAGUGGUCAGCACACUAAGCCGGUAUUUCAGAGGUCCGUGGUUCGAUUCCCGGCGAAGGCC
rfam:Stegodyphus mimosarum contig25150, whole genome shotgun sequence.